GAUUCCUACGGGAGGCAGCAGUGGGGAAUAUUGCACAAUGGACGCAAGUCUGAUGCAGCAACGCCGCGUGGAGGAUGACGCAUUUCGGUGUGUAAACUCCUUUUAUAGGGGAAGAUAAUGACGGUACCCUAUGAAUAAGCACCGGCUAACUCCGUGCCAGCAGCCGCGGUAAUACGGAGGGUGCGAGCGUUACUCGGAAUCACUGGGCGUAAAGGAUGCGUAGGCUGGAGAUCAAGUCGAGAGUGAAAUCCAACGGCUCAACCGUUGAACUGCUCUCGAAACUGGUUACCUAGAAUAUGGGAGAGGUAGAUGGAAUUAGUGGUGUAGGGGUAAAAUCCGUAGAUAUCACUAGGAAUACCGAUUGCGAAGGCGAUCUACUGGAACAUUAUUGACGCUGAGGCAUGAAAGCGUGGGGAGCAAACAGGAUUAGAUACCCUGGUAGUCCACGCCCUAAACGAUGCACACUAGUUGUUGCCCUGCUAGUCAGGGCAGUAAUGCACUUAACAGAUUAAGUGUGCCGCCUGGGGAGUACGGUCGCAAGAUUAAAACUCAAAGGAAUAGACGGGGACCCGCACAAGCGGUGGAGCAUGUGGUUUAAUUCGAAGAUACACGAAGAACCUUACCUGGACUUGAUAUCCUUGGAAUCCUGUAGAGAUACGGGAGUGCUAGUUUACUAGAACCAAGUGACAGGUGCUGCACGGCUGUCGUCAGCUCGUGUCGUGAGAUGUUGGGUUAAGUCCCGCAACGAGCGCAACCCUCGUGAUUAGUUGCUAACAGUUCGGCUGAGCACUCUAAUCAGACUGCCUUCGUAAGGAGGAGGAAGGUGAGGACGACGUCAAGUCAUCAUGGCCCUUAUGUCCAGGGCUACACACGUGCUACAAUGGCUAGGACAAAGAGACGCGAUACCGCGAGGUGGAGCAAAUCUUAAAACCUAGUCUCAGUUCGGAUUGGAGUCUGCAACUCGACUCCAUGAAGCUGGAAUCGCUAGUAAUCGUAGAUCAGAUAUGCUACGGUGAAUACGUUCCCGGGCCUUGUACACACCG
rnacentral:rRNA from 1 species